UACGGAGGGUGCGAGCGUUGUCCGGAAUCACUGGGCGUAAAGGGCGCGUAGGUGGCGCGGCAAGUCAACGGUGAAAGCUCGACGCUCAACGUCGAGUCGGCCGUCGAUACUGCUGGGCUUGAGCACUGUAGAGGCAGAUGGAAUUCCGGGUGUAGCGGUGGAAUGCGUAGAGAUCCGGAAGAACGACCGGUGGCGAAGGCGGUCUGCUGGGCGAGUAGCUGGACACUGAGCGCGACAGCGUGGGGAGCAACAGG
rnacentral:rRNA from 1 species